rnacentral:rRNA from 1 species
UACGUAGGUGGCAAGCGUUGGCCGGAAUUAUUGGGCGUAAAGAGCUCGUAGGCGGUUUGUCGCGUCGGCUGUGAAAUCUCAGGGCUCAACCCUGAAACUGCACUCGAUACUGCUCUGCUUGAGGACUGGAGAGGAGACUGGAAUUCACGGUGUAGCAGUGAAAUGCGUAGAUAUCGUGAGGAAGACCAGUGGCGAAGGCGGGUCUCUGGACAGUUCCUGACGCUGAGGCGCGAAGGCCAGGGGGAGCAAACGGG